rnacentral:rRNA from 1 species
GUGGGGAAUUUUGGACAAUGGGCGCAAGCCUGAUCCAGCAAUGCCGCGUGCAGGAAGAAGGCCUUCGGGUUGUAAACUGCUUUUGUACGGAACGAAACGGUCCUGGCUAAUAUCCGGGGCUAAUGACGGUACCGUAAGAAUAAGCACCGGCUAACUACGUGCCAGCAGCCGCGGUAAUACGUAGGGUGCGAGCGUUAAUCGGAAUUACUGGGCGUAAAGCGUGCGCAGGCGGUGCUGUAAGACAGGCGUGAAAUCCCCGGGCUCAACCUGGGAAUUGCGCUUGUGACUGCAGGGCUGGAGUGCGGCAGAGGGGGAUGGAAUUCCGCGUGUAGCAGUGAAAUGCGUAGAUAUGCGGAGGAACACCGAUGGCGAAGGCAAUCCCCUGGGCCUGCACUGACGCUCAUGCACGAAAGCGUGGGGAGCAAACAGGAUUAGAAACCCUGGUAGUCC